GACGAACCGUGCGAACGUUGUUCGGAAUCACUGGGCUUAAAGGGCGCGUAGGCGGCUUGCCAAGUCAGUGGUGAAAUCCCACAGCUUAACUGUGGAAGUGCCUUUGAUACUGGCGAGCUCGAGGGAGGUAGGGGUAUGUGGAACUUCUGGUGGAGCGGUGAAAUGCGUAGAUAUCGAAGGAACGACCUGUGGCGAAAGCGGACUCACUGGACCAUAACGUGACGCUGAGGCGCGGAAAGCUAAGGGGAGCAA
rnacentral:rRNA from 1 species